UACCUGUGUAUCCAGGUGUAAUGAUAAGUCGUUAUCCUAAGGCUAUUUUUUUCUUAUUUUUUCUGUACACUUAGCCUUCAUUUUUUAUUACCAUGCAUUGUCAAGCUUGGUAACUCAUAAUUAUUUGUCAGUAACUAAAUGUACGAUGCUGUCCCAUACUGAACCUUCUGACCUUGUUUGUUUACAUUUAAAUUUCAAUGGCGUCAAAAUCACGUGAUGUCAAUUCGUUCUACCCAAUCAAAUUGCUCUACUGUCAAUUAGGGGAUUUUCCAGUCUACGGCAAUUACGUUAUUUCUUUGUGGGAUAUUGCUUCAAAAUAGUUUGCAAUAAUUUUGGGUUUUAUUCAACAGGAAAACUCUUUUUUUGCCAUCCCUUUUGACAUCAGUGGAAUUCUGUAUGAAUAUUUAUCUACAGUCAUGAUGGUCAGAAUAUCGAUAUUUUUAUAAUGAAUAAAAAGAAAAUUCUAUGAAAAAUAAAUGUAAAUUAUUUUUCAUUAACCUACUCUAUAUUCCUGUACAAAAUUAUGGCAUGGGCAUCGUUUUUUCAAUUAGUUUUCCUUUUAUUUUGGUUGGGCUUUUUUCGCGGGAAAAUCGCGAAAGACGUAAGGAGCAGGUCAUUUUAAAAUUCCUAAAAAUACGAUUUGCUUGACCUGUAUUGCCUGCCACAAGAUUGAUGACGCUGAAUGGAAUGUACACAAAGCAAUGGAGGCCGGAAGUGGGAUUUUGUGAAGUUCUAGAAUGUUUUU
rnacentral:lncRNA from 1 species